UACGUAGGGGGCGAGCGUUGCCCGGAAUCAUUGGGCGUAAAGGGCGCGCAGGCGGCCUGAUUAGUCGUGGGUGAAAUCGUUCGGCUCAACCGAGCGGGGUCCUGCGAAACGGUCGGGCUGGAGCAAGGCAGGGGGUCGUGGAAUUCCCGGUGUAGUGGUGGAAUGCGUAGAGAUCGGGAGGAACACCAGUGGCGAAGGCGGCGACCUGGGCCUGUGCUGACGCUGAGGCGCGAAAGCGUGGGGAGCGAUCCGG
rnacentral:rRNA from 1 species